CCCCCGGAGCGGGGCGGGGGGGAACGGACGGACAGAGCAGUACAGGAGGUUGCUGGUUCCCACCCCCCUCAAGGAGCCCAGCCCCCACGGAGGGGGCUCUUGUGUGUCCCCCCCAAUAUUGAUGGGGCAGCCGUGACUCGGCUCUGCCGGAGCUGCCACUGCGCAGGGGCAGGGCUCUGCCCCCCCCCCCCCGGCUUCAGAGCAGCGCUUACGGGAAGGGGUCAAUGCUCUGCCCAGCCACUGCGGGGGAGGGGGGGAAGAGGAGGGGAGGGGGAAGUCUCCCCCUGCCCAAGCAUCCUCCGAAGGCUCUGCAGAGUCCUGCACCCAGACCAGCACCAUGCCAGGAGCAGCAUCAGGCCACGGCCAGCGCCGUUGAUCCAACCCUGCCCACACACCCAGGGCAGGGCUUAGGUCACCGUGAAGCUGAACGUGGCGAGACAAGAGUGGAAAGAGCAAACUUUAAUGAGCAGCCCCCAGAGUGGAACCCAAAGGACGAGGCACUAAAACUCCUCCCCUUCCUCCUCCCCCUCCACGCUGUCGGCCCCCACCUCCUCGUAAUCCUUCUCCAGGGCAGCCAUAUCCUCCCGCGCCUCCGAGAACUCCCCUUCCUCCAUGCCCUCCCCCACGUACCAGUGCACGAAUGCCCGCUUGGCAUACAUCAGGUCAAACUUGUGGUCCAGGCGGGCCCAAGCCUCGGCGAUGGCCGUGGUGUUGCUCAGCAUGCAGACGGCUCGCUGCACCUUGGCCAGGUCCCCGCCGGGCAC